UACGGAGGGCGCAAGCGUUGUUCGGAAUUACUGGGCGUAAAGCGCGUGUAGGCGGCUUGGCAAGUCGGUUGUGAAAUCCCCAGGCUCAACCUGGGAACUGCAGCCGAAACUGCUUCGCUAGAGUCCCGGAGAGGAAGGCAGAAUUCCCAGUGUAGGGGUGAAAUCCGUAGAUACUGGGAGGAAUACCCGUAGCGAAGGCGGCCUUCUGGACGGUGACUGACGCUCAGACGCGAAAGCGUGGGGAGCAAACAGG
rnacentral:misc_RNA from 1 species